AGCAGCCGCGGUAAUUCCAGCUCCAAUAGCGUAUAUUAAAGUUGUUGCAGUUAAAAAGCUCGUAGUUGAAUUUCGGGAUCAUCAGGUUGGUCGUGCCUCCGGUAUGUACUUGCUUCGAUGGUCCCUCCUUCUUGAAGAACCGUAAUGCCAUUAAUUUGGUGUUGCGGGGAAACAGGACUGUUACUUUGAAAAAUUAGAGUGUUUAAAGCAGGCAAUCGCUUGAAUACAUUAGCAUGGAAUAAUGAAAUAGGACGUUCGAUCCUAUUUUGUUGGCUUCUAGGAUUGACGUAAUGAUUAAUAGGGAUAGUUGGGGGCAUUAGUAUUCAAUUGUCAGAGGUGAAAUUCUUGGAUUUAUUGAAGACUAACUACUGCGAAAGCAUUUGCCAAGGAUGUUUUCAUUAAUCAAGAACGAAAGUUAGGGGAUCGAAGACGAUCAGAUACCGUCGUAGUCUCAACCAUAAACUAUGCCGACUAGGGAUCAGAUGAUGUUAAUUUUUAAUGA
rnacentral:rRNA from 1 species